CAUGCAAGUCGAACGGCAGCAUGAGAGAGCUUGCUCUCUUGAUGGCGAGUGGCGGACGGGUGAGUAAUGUAUCGGAACGUGCCCGGUAGUGGGGGAUAACUACGCGAAAGCGUAGCUAAUACCGCAUAUUCUCUACGGAGGAAAGAGGGGGAUCGUAAGACCUCUUGCUACCGGAGCGGCCGAUAUCAGAUUAGCUGGUUGGUGGGGUAACGGCCUACCAAGGCGGUGAUCUGUAGCUGGUUUGAGAGGACGACCAGCCACACUGGGACUGAGACACGGCCCAGACUCCUACGGGAGGCAGCAGUGGGGAAUUUUCGACAAUGGGGGGAACCCUGAUCGAGCCAUCUCGCGUGUGGGACGAAGGCCUUCGGGUUGUAAACCACUUUUCUCAACGAAGAAAAGUCUUAGGCUAAUACCUUAAGAUGCUGACGGUAGUUGAGGAAUA
rnacentral:rRNA from 1 species